GAUAAACGCUAGCGGCAGGCUUAACACAUGCAAGUCGAGGGGCAGCAUAGAUUGUAGCAAUACAAUUGGUGGCGACCGGCGCACGGGUGCGUAACGCGUAUGCAACCUACCCGUCACAGGGGGAUAAUCCGGAGAAAUCUGGUCUAAUACCCCAUAACAUAUGGAUCGGCAUCGGCUCAUGUUGAAAUUUUCGGAGGUGACGGAUGGGCAUGCGUAGCAUUAGCUUGUUGGUGAGGUAACGGCUCACCAAGGCGACGAUGCUUAGGGGGACUGAGAGGUUUUCCCCCACACUGGUACUGAGACACGGACCAGACUCCUACGGGAGGCAGCAGUGAGGAAUAUUGGUCAAUGGGCGCAAGCCUGAACCAGCCAUGCCGCGUGCAGGAUGACGGCUCUAUGAGUUGUAAACUGCUUUUGUACGAGGGUAAAGUGGGUUACGUGUAACCUUUUGAAAGUAUCGUACGAAUAAGGAUCGGCUAACUCCGUGCCAGCCGCCGCCGUAA
rnacentral:rRNA from 1 species